rnacentral:rRNA from 1 species
GACGAACGCUGGCGGCGUGCUUAACACAUGCAAGUCGAACGGAAAGGCCCUGCUUUUGUGGGGUGCUCGAGUGGCGAACGGGUGAGUAACACGUGAGUAACCUGCCCUUGACUUUGGGAUAACUUCAGGAAACCGGGGCUAAUACCGGAUAGGAGCUCCUGCUGCAUGGUGGGGGUUGGAAAGUUUCGGCGGUUGGGGGUGGACUCGCGGCUUAUCAGCUUGUUGGUGGGGUAGUGGCUUACCAAGGCUUUGACGGGUAGCCGGCCUGAGAGGGUGACCGGCCACAUUGGGACUGAGAUACGGCCCAGACUCCUACGGGAGGCAGCAGUGGGGAAUAUUGCACAAUGGGCGGAAGCCUGAUGCAGCAACGCCGCGUGCGGGAUGACGGCCUUCGGGUUGUAAACCGCUUUCGCCUGUGACGAAGCGUGAGUGACGGUAAUGGGUAAAGAAGCACCGGCUAACUACGUG